UACGUAGGGGGCUAGCGUUAUCCGGAAUUACUGGGCGUAAAGGGUGCGUAGGUGGUUUCUUAAGUCAGAGGUGAAAGGCUACGGCUCAACCGUAGUAAGCCUUUGAAACUGGGAAACUUGAGUGCAGGAGAGGAGAGUGGAAUUCCUAGUGUAGCGGUGAAAUGCGUAGAUAUUAGGAGGAACACCAGCUGCGAAGGCGGCUCUCUGGACUGUAACUGACACUGAGGCACGAAAGCGUGGGGAGCAAACAGG
rnacentral:rRNA from 2 species